rnacentral:lncRNA from 1 species
GUUUGUCGGUCGCUAAAUAAAGAAAAAUAUGUGUUAAAACAUUAAUAUCACCUUAUCUAAUAACAUAUAAAAAAAUCUUUAUUCUCAUAUACCCGCCUUAAACGAAGGGGAACGCGAUGGAUUAAAUAAUUUAUUAGUAAUUAAUGUCCAUCGGUAAAUAAAUAAUGUAUGUUUGUUCACGACAGUCACAUGGUACAUAUGUCAUAAACUAUAUUUAUUAAUCUUAUAUUUAAAAGCCCAUUAUGUUUUGCGAUUUCAAAUUAUUAAUCUAGGAAAAGUUUGAUCUGAAGUUGUUAAAAUAAUGUUUUUGUAACGUCUGGUUCUUAUACAUAUAACAGGAGAUAGCCUUGAUUACAGUAAUGGUCAAGCGUUUACUACCAAAGACAGGGACAAUGAUCCAUGGACAUCCAGCAAUUUCAAAAAUAAUUGUGGAAAAUAUCACCAGGGCGCUUGGUGGUAUCGACAAUGUGCACUUUCCAACCUGAAUGGGUUAUAUAUUGAAGGAGGAAAAACAAGAAGGGAAGGAAUGUUUUGGUUUCAUUGGAAGAAUAGCCGGUAUUCAAUGAAGUCUUCUUCAAUGAUGAUUAGGAGACUGUAAUAUCAUAAGCAAGUCAAUUAAUAUUACAGCUACGUUUGUGUAAAUUAAAAGAUUAUUGCAUUGUAUGAUAAUUUUUGUUCCUGCAUUUCCUGUAUGAAUUUGUCUAUUUUGAUGAUCUUUUUUCUAGUAUGUAACUUGCUGUGAAAAUUCCUAAACCUCGUGCUCAUACUAUAUACAUGUAUCUUAUAAUAUAACAUAUGGUGUAGCAUUCUCCUGUUUUCAAUGGAUAUAAUGAUCAUCUGUUUUAAAGUUUAUUUUAUGUAUCCGUAUCCUUGUUUAUUGACGAUAAGAUUCUAUUUAUAUAUAUAUAUUGAUGGUCAAUAUACAAAAUCUUGCUAAAUUUAAAUUUAUGACGUCAUUACCGUCACACAUAAUACACAUACAAAACGCGCAGCAGCAGACGAAAAAUAAUUUGCAAGUAUAUCAGAAUUUCAUGUAAAAUGCAGAAGCCAGUCAAUAGGUGAUAUAUGGACCUGUUAGAUUAUAUUGACACUCAGAUUUCGUCCUCGGUCAAUAUAAUUUGAACAGGUCUGCAUAUAGCGUAUUGACCUCGUCAAAAGUACAUAUAUGAUAUAUGUCUGUAAGUUACACACCAGUUUAAACUAAGCUUGCAUAUUAUCUUACUCAGCUAGUAAAUGUUAAAAUAAAUAUUGUGUAACAUAUCUUUUCGGGUAAAGCUAUUGCUCACAUAUUUUUGACCGUGGAGAAUGGCUACUAAAUUUGAACGUUUAUAACAUCAAAAUCACAUGAAAAUGGAUCUUUCUGCACUAACGUGGGCACAACUAUUCAUUUGUUGAAAAUAUUAACAUUAUUUUGAAAGAUUUGAAUAAGUUUACUAUAUUGCAAUUGUAUGGGCAAAAUAUGUAGCACUUUUUCUUACCUCCGUUUCGAUUUUUAAACAAUUUAUUGCUUAAUUGUCGUCAAAAGGGUUUUAUACGUCCAAAAUGAGAAUCUCAAUAAGAAGGCUAUUCUUGAUAGAGAAAAAAUGCCAAUCACGAACGUGGAGGUAUAAUGUAAAUAAGUAUGGUGUACUCUGUUCGUAUAUGCUAGUAUGGCUGCUUCUUUGGAUAUUCAUAUGUCGGAUAGUCUGUAAAAAAAGGCCGGUUAAAUUAUUCUUCAAAAAUUUGUGUAUUGUCUGUCAACAUUAAUAUAACUACUCAUAAUUUUCUAAAAUGUUUACUUUCAUGAAAUACAUCAAAUUUCCAUUUGUUCAAUCAAUAAAGGCAACAGUAUUAUAUAAACUCAGCAUAGAUUCCAGGAUUAAAUUUUGUAUUUACGCCAGAUGCGCGUUUCAUCAGUGACGCUCGAAUCCAAAAAAGACAAAAAUUCUUACUCAAGUACGAAGUUGAAGAGCAUUGAGUACCAAAAUUCCUAAAAGUUUUGCCGAACACAGCUAAGGUAAUCUAUUCCUGAGGUAUACAGCCUUAGUAUUUCAAGACCUCAAAAGUUUUGUGAACAGUUAACUUAUAAAUAUGACCAUAUCAAUGAUAAUUCAUAUCAUCACAGAUGUAAGCACAUACCUGUGUUCAAAAGUCAUAAAUCGAUUGAGAGAAAACAAAUCCGGAUUAUCAACCAGAACCGAGGGUAACACAUCAACUAUAAGAGUAAAACAUAGGGACAACAGGAUCAACGAAGUACAACAAAACAAACGCCACCCAUAUAGAAACAAACUAUUUGAUAACAACUGCCAUAUUCCUGUCUUGUUACAGGACAUUUUAAGAAAAGAAUGAUGGGUGGAACCUGAUUUAAUGGCUAGCCAAACCUUCGGCUUUAUGACAAUGCUAAAAACUAUCUCUAAAAUUACAACCCUUAAUGUAAAUAUGAAAGAUAUAUAGCACAAAAACACACAAGAACUUUCAUUACAGAGAAACGCACAAACGAAUAGCAGAAGAUUUGACACAAUAUGCAAACUGCAGAACAACAACGAACAUAUCCCAGUAACGACAAACACUACAGCAUACCGUGACAAUAGUGUUAUGGAAAGGCAGUUUAAUAAGUAUUUGGACUACGAAAAAUAAAACAUAACAGAUUAUCUAACCGAAACCAUAUAAUGAAACAUCAAACAUAAAUACAUGAAUACAAUGUAUUGGAUGUACAAAAUACCGAACACGUGCAUCAUUGCAAAUUGACACUCGGUAUAACAGUCAUAUUCUGGAAUAUGAUAAUGAUUGUAUUGAAAGACAAUUUUACAAUUAUUUGUACAACAAACGAUAAGACCUAAAACAUUAUUCAAACGAAACCAUUACAGAAACAUCAAAAACACAAUGCAUGAAUGUUUUCUCUUAUUUUUGAGAUAUUGAGAUCAGACGUGGCACGAUACUUGUCUAUCCCUAAUUCAUGUAUUUGGUUUUCAUGUUAUAUUUGUUAUUCUCGUGGUGUUUUGUCUGAUGCUUGGUCCGUUUCUGUGUGUGUUACGUUUCGGUGUUAUGUCGUUGUUCUCCUCUUAUAUUUAAUGCGUUUCCCUCGGUUUUAGUUUGUUACCCCGAUUUUGUUUUUUGUCCCUGGAUUUAUGAGUUUUGAACAGCGGUAUACUACUGUUGCCUUUAUUUGGAUAUAUAAUAUAUACAAAAUAAAUCAUUUCUUAUAACAUAAAGUCCAUUAUCAAUUACAAAAGUAGCAAUCAAUAAAAGUUUCUCGUCAGUAUCAUCCGGACGAAAAUUUAUAGUUUCUUACAUCUUGAAUAUCUUGUUUGACCUUUUGCUUAAAUGUUUGAUAAUCAGAAUUAGUUGGUCGAACUUCUUCCACUUUGUCACUUUGUUUCGCAAUAAAUUUAUCGUGCAACAGUCUACUUUUCUUGAUCACCGUUUUCGAAAUAAUUUCAUCAACUGCGACUAGUUUUUUCACUAUCAUCCUCCUCCUCCUCUACCUCAUCAUCAUCAUCAUUUUCAUCAUCAUCA